GACGAACGCUGGCGGCGUGCUUAACACAUGCAAGUCGAACGGAAAGGCCCUGCUUUUGUGGGGUGCUCGAGUGGCGAACGGGUGAGUAACACGUGAGUAACCUGCCCUUGACUUUGGGAUAACUUCAGGAAACUGGGGCUAAUACCGGAUAGGAUCUCCUGCUGCAUGGUGGGGGUUGGAAAGAUUCGGCGGUUGGGGAUGGACUCGCGGCUUAUCAGCUUGUUGGUGGGGUAGUGGCUUACCAAGGCUUUGACGGAUAGCCGGCAUGAGAGGGUGACCGGGCACAUGGGGACUGAGAGACGGCGCAGAAGCGUACGGGAGGCAGUAGUGGAGAAUAUUGCAGAAUGGGCGGAAGCCUGAUGCAGCAACGCCGCGUGCGGGAUGACGGCCUUCGGGGUGUAAACCGCUUUCGCAUGUGACGAAGCGGGAGUGACGGUAAUGGGUAAGGAAGCACCGGCUAACUACGUG
rnacentral:rRNA from 1 species